CCUCCACGCUAGUCGCAGCUCGGAGUCCACUAGGACAGCAUGGCCGCUCGCCGCGCCGCUGCAGCAGCAGCUGGUGUGUAAAACCGGCGCCACGCUCCGCCCCUUUGGAGUACAGCAGCCGUCAAGGUGGACGAUGUCUGCCGCCGGCGUUGUGCGUGUCGUGUAGUCGCGACCCUUUUGACGUCGUCCGGAGGUGUCACAUCGAUCUCGGACGGUCAUCUCGCCCGUCGUGCCGGCUCGGACGUCCGUCAAUGAUCUCCCUCUCCUUUUUCUCGCGGACACCCGGAAAGCACCGCGGCACUUGUCACUCACCGGAGUAGUAAAAGAAAGACUGUAGCGACGGGAUCAUCGCUCUCGUUCCAUUUGAUGCUGUUGCUGCUGCCGCUUCAAACGUCACACUGGCUUCUUUCCUUGCUUCGAGUGGUGGUGUGCAGUCGUUCCUCGCUUGGGACGUCAGUGUGUUGUGAUUGCGUGUGCUGCAACUGAUCGCGCCCAGGCACGACUGAGUUACCGCGCGCCCUUCCUGAACGUGACACUGACAGGAGUCCCGCGUCCUUCACGUGCGGCGACGCUCGACAGAUACAGCGCGUGAUUGUUGCUUCCGUGCACCGGAUUUACCGCUGCGAUUGUUUCUUUGUGUUGUGACCGACCUUUCAAGCGGUGCCCGGAUCUGACGCUACCGAGCGCGCGCCAGUUUAAAACGUGCCUGCCCCUGGCGCCGUCGGGUGGCCGUGCACUUGACUUGCCUUGGAUUGAGUUACCGUGUGCUUUUGGAGCUGCUGGCGCUCCCGUGGACUACCCUCGAGCAUAGGACACGGCACGAGUCCUACGUUCUGGACGUCGUGGUGGUCAAUCGCUUCGUUGUCAUCAAUGAUCCCAUACCUGUGAGGUACACGACGCACAGCAGUCAAGAACGUGACAUGGGACGCUGAAUGGACUGUCGUCAGUUGGUCAGCUCCUGUGUUUCCGCCCUCGCUGACAAACCGAAGACGCAUCCCUGGCUCCUACUUUAGUCCAAGAGCUAAUCACGGCUAUCCGCAUACGUUCAUCCAGACAUCUAUACAAUUAUCCUGCCAAGGCGGCUUCGUCCGUACCGGGUGAAGAGAGCCGGCGGGAGGCGGAGCGGAGGACGCCGCAUGCCUCGCCAGGCGGGCAGCGGCAACGACUGGAUGACACACGACCCGGAGACAGUGCACACAGUUCCUACUCGCGGAGGUGAGGCUUCGAUGCUGCGCUCUCUUAAAGCCAGUCUU